UACGUAGGGACCAAGCGUUGUUCGGAUUUACUGGGCGUAAAGGGCGCGUAGGCGGCAAUUCAAGUCAGCUGUGAAAUCUCCGGGCUUAACUCGGAACGGUCAGCUGAUACUGCUUUGCUAGAGUGCGGAAGGGGCAAUCGGAAUUCUCGGUGUAGCGGUGAAAUGCGUAGAUAUCGAGAGGAACACCUGAGGUGAAGACGGGUUGCUGGGCCGACACUGACGCUGACAGCGCGAAAGCCAGGGGAGCGAACGGG
rnacentral:rRNA from 1 species